rnacentral:rRNA from 1 species
UGGGGAAUUUUGCACAAUGGGGGAAACCCUGAUGCAGCGACGCCGCGUGAUUUAGAAGGCCUUCGGGUUGUAAAAAUCUUUUCUAUGGGCAGAAAAUGACAGUACCAUAGGAAUAAGGACCGGCUAAUUACGUGCCAGCAGCCGCGGUAAUACGUAAGGUCCGAGCGUUGUCCGGAAUCAUUGGGCGUAAAGGGUACGUAGGCGGGUAAGCAAGUUAGAAGUGAAAUCCUGUAGCUCAACUACAGUAAGCUUUUAAAACUGCUCAUCUUGAGAUAUGGAAGGGAAAGUGGAAUUCCUAGUGUAGCGGUGAAAUGCGCAGAUAUUAGGAGGAAUACCGGUGGCGAAGGCGACUUUCUGGCCAUAAUCUGACGCUGAGGUACGAAAGCGUGGGUAGCAAACAGG